rnacentral:rRNA from 1 species
CACCGCGGUUAUACGAGAGGCCCAAGUUGUCAACCUCCGGCGUAAAGAGUGGUUAAUGUGAUCAUCCCGCUAAAGCCAAACACCUACCAAAUUGUACAACAUGAACGUAGACAGGAAGCCCUAACGAAAGUAGCUUUAUCCCCAUGAACCACGAAAGCCAAGGAA